rnacentral:rRNA from 1 species
UAUUGGCAUGGGUAGUACUGGAUAGUGCUGUCGACCUCUCAAUGUAUUAGGUUUAUCCAACUCGUUGAAUGGUGUGGCGGGAUAUUUCUGGUAUUGUUGGCCCGGCCUUACAACAACCAAACAAGUUUGACCUCAAAUCAGGUAGGAAUACCCGCUGAACUUAAGCAUAUCAAUAAGCGGAGGAAAAGAAACCAACAGGGAUUGCCUUAGUAGCGGCGAGUGAAGCGGCAAAAGCUCAAAUUUGAAAUCUGGCGCCUUCGGUGUCCGAGUUGUAAUUUGAAGAUUGUAACCUUGGGGUUGGCUCUUGUCUAUGUUUCUUGGAACAGGACGUCACAGAGGGUGAGAAUCCCGUGCGAUGAGAUGCCCAAUCCUAUGUAAGGUGCUUUCGAAGAGUCGAGUUGUUUGGGAAUGCAGCUCUAAGUGGGUGGUAAAUUCCAUCUAAAGCUAAAUAUUGGCGAGAGACCGAUAGCGAACAAGUACAGUGAUGGAAAGAUGAAAAGAACUUUGAAAAGAGAGUGAAAAAGUACGUGAAAUUGUUGAAAGGGAAGGGUUUGAGAUCAGACUCGAUAUUUUGUGAGCCUUGCCUUCGUGGCGGGGUGACCCGCAGCUUAUCGGGCCAGCAUCGGUUUGGGCGGUAGGAUAAUGGCGUAGGAA